rnacentral:lncRNA from 15 species
UUUUGAAAAGUUGGAUUACAGCGAGCCACUUGAACUGAGAGGAGAUACUGUCUGCCAGAUGCUGCUCGGAGGAUGAGCAGCGGUGCAGCGCAAAUUGGGGAAAUAAGAGGAAUCCCGUGCUGUCAACGUGAUAUAAGAGAUCCAAGUUCCUUGCUGGAGUGACAUCAGCCCCCUGGGUACAGGUGCCCUCCAUGAAUGAUUGAUGCCUCGCUGUAUGUUGUCUUUAGUGGUAAUUUGCAAACAUUAG